ACGGGGCCGCACAAGCGGUGGAGUAUGUGGUUUAAUUCGACGCAACGCGCAGAACCUUACCUAGACUUGACAUCCCGGGAUUUUCUGGAAACAGAGAAGUGCUUUAGCAAUAAAGAACCCGGUGACAGGUGCUGCAUGGCUGUCGUCAGCUCGUGUCGUGAGAUGUUGGGUUAAGUCCCGCAACGAGCGCAACCCUUAUCUUUAGUUACCAGCACUUCGGGUGGGGACUCUAGAGAUACUGCCCCGGUCAACGGGGAGGAAGGUGGGGAUGACGUCAAGUCCUCAUGGCCUUUAUGCCUAGGGCUACACACGUGCUACAAUGGGCGGUACAAAGGGUCGCGAUCCCGCGAGGGGGAGCCAAUCCCAAAAAGCCGUCCCAAGUUCGGAUUGGAGUCUGCAACUCGACUCCAUGAAGCUGGAAUCGCUAGUAAUCGCGGAUCAGCAUGCCCGCGGUCCGAAUACGUUCCCGGGCCUU
rnacentral:rRNA from 1 species